UACGUAGGGGGCAAGCGUUGUCCGGAAUCAUUGGGCGUAAAGAGCGUGUAGGCGGCCCGAUAAGUCCGCUGUGAAAGUCCAGGGCUCAACCCUGGAAUGCCGGUGGAUACUGUCGGGCUCGAAUCCGGAAGAGGUGAGUGGAAUUCCUGGUGUAGCGGUGAAAUGCGCAGAUAUCAGGAGGAACACCAAUGGCGAAGGCAGCUCACUGGGACGGAUUGACGCUGAGACGCGAAAGCGUGGGGAGCAAACAGG
rnacentral:rRNA from 1 species